rnacentral:lncRNA from 1 species
GAUGCUGGAUUGGUGGUUUGGUUCUCAGGUGGCUCCUAGAGGAGCCGCAGUAUGGAAACCACUGGCCUGCUCCUGCCUCUGAGAAAAUGAAGCUGGAGGAAAAGAUGUAAAGAUGUAUUUUUUCCAAACUUGCGAUGUUUUAUACAGAAUCUUUCUUAGUGCUUCCACAUAGUUAUUGAAGUAAGCCCGAGAAUUUGCAUUUCUGACAAGAUCCCAGGAUCUGAACGUCUAUGACACUCUUUCGAGCUGACACAGUGAAGAACAUAGAAGGAGAACUCACCCAGUCUGCCAGGGUCACAGAAUGAUCAUACUCAAGAUCUUCCUGGGGAGUCAAUGGC